rnacentral:tRNA from 1 species
GGUAAAGUGGCUGAAAUAGGCUGUAGAUUGUAAAUCUAUAAACAAGUGUAUACUUCUUUAUCA